rnacentral:tRNA from 1 species
GGUAUGGUGUAGUUGGUUAGCACGUCAGAUUGUGGUUCUGAAGAUCAUGGGUUCGAGUCCCAUUAUC